rnacentral:lncRNA from 1 species
CCACUUUGUAUGGCAAAGGCAAGGUACAGCACUUAAUUCUGCAAACAUCACUGCAGCUGUGAAACAUGGUGGCAGUGUAAUGAUAUGGGAGUGCAAUGGGUGCAAGUGGGGUUGGCAGUAUUUAUUGAAGGAAUAAUGGACAAAACAAUGUAUUUAAAUGUAAUAGCAUAAAAAACAAGCAUUUGUCAGUGGUGAAAGCAUUGGUGUUCUUUGGUCUUCAUGAACUGGUGAUGUUUUUGGCGAUUUUGCUCACCGUUAUCAGGUACAACUUUAAACAGAAAAUAAUAAGAAAAUAGAAUAAAUAAAAGAACAUUAAAUUCUAGAAAGCCUUAACAUUGGAAGAAUAUGGUAUAGUGCUUAAGAAAGAACAAGUCAAUGACAAGCACAUACACUACUUGGACAUCAAUGUAAGAAUGGAAGGAGUUGGGAUACAGACUUCUGUCUAUAGAAAGAAAACCUACCAUCUGAUCCUAAUUCUGUGGUGGUCUGUGGACACAAUAGCCUACAAAGCAGCAGCAUUCAACUUUUAUUUCAGGAGAGCAUAUAACUACAUAGCUGAGGACCGUGAGCUAAAGAGCUCGAUUAUAUAUAUAAAAUGGGUUAUGAGCACGGAUAUAGUAAAAGUUUCCUACGUAAUAUACACUGUAAGAUUAGGAAACCCCUAGAGAGAGAGGAAGGAACGCCAAUCAACCUGAAAAGGAAAAGGAGAGAUACUUAACUGUACCAUACCAGACCAGUAAACUAAAUGUUGUAAGGGAGAUCAUACGCAAAACCAAAAGAGAAAUAGCUGCUGCUAGGCCACCAACACUCUUCAACGCUCUCCGAAAUGAAAAAGACCCGCGGAUCCAAUAUCAGAAGCCUGGAUCCGCAGGUCUUUAUAACAUACCAAUUAAUUACCCUACCGAAAAUAGAAAAGCCAGCUACAUUGGCGUUACAAUGAGAACGCUUGCAUAGAGAAUAGUAGAACAUAAAACAGAUAUUAGAACGGGUAGAAUGAACACGGUGCUGGCAGAAGAAGCAUAUACUAAGAAUGUACAGAUAGAAUGGAACCAAGCUAGGAUAGUAAAACCAAUUGCUUUGGCAGCACAAGCAACUUUACAAGAAACUAUGGAAAUAACUGUAGGUAAGCAU